rnacentral:rRNA from 1 species
UGGGGAAUAUUGGACAAUGGGCGAAAGCCUGAUCCAGCCAUGCCGCGUGUGUGAAGAAGGUCUUCGGAUUGUAAAGCACUUUAAGUUGGGAGGAAGGGCAGUAAGCGAAUACCUUGCUGUUUUGACGUUACCGACAGAAUAAGCACCGGCUAACUCUGUGCCAGCAGCCGCGGUAAUACAGAGGGUGCAAGCGUUAAUCGGAAUUACUGGGCGUAAAGCGCGCGUAGGUGGUUCGUUAAGUUGAAUGUGAAAGCCCCGGGCUCAACCUGGGAACUGCAUCCAAAACUGGCGAGCUAGAGUAGGGCAGAGGGUGGUGGAAUUUCCAGUGUAGCGGUGAAAUGCGUAGAUAUAGGAAGGAACACCAGUGGCGAAGGCGACCACCUGGGCUCAUACUGACACUGAGGUGCGAAAGCGUGGGGAGCAAACAGG